UGGGGAAUAUUGGACAAUGGGCGCAAGCCUGAUCCAGCCAUGCCGCGUGAGUGAUGAAGGCCUUCGGGUUGUAAAGCUCUUUCGACGGGGACGAUGAUGACGGUACCCGUAGAAGAAGCCCCGGCUAACUUCGUGCCAGCAGCCGCGGUAAUACGAAGGGGGCAAGCGUUGUUCGGAAUUACUGGGCGUAAAGGGCGCGUAGGCGGCUUCGUCAGUCAGGUGUGAAAGCCCUGGGCUCAACCCGGGAACUGCAUUUGAUACUGCGAAGCUCGAGUCUCGGAGAGGUUGGUGGAAUUCCCAGUGUAGAGGUGAAAUUCGUAGAGAUUGGGAAGAACACCGGUGGCGAAGGCGGCCAACUGGACGAGCACUGACGCUGAGGCGCGAAAGCGUGGGGAGCAAACAG
rnacentral:rRNA from 1 species